GAGGGUAUAGCUCAGUGGUAGAGUGCAUGCUUGGCAUGUGAGAAGUCCUGGGUUCAAUCCCCAGUACCUCUG
rnacentral:tRNA from 1 species